AGUGGAUCCUGAGUACGACGGAGCACGUGAAAUUCCGUCGGAAUCUGGGAGGACCAUCUCCUAAGGCUAAAUACUCUCUAGUGACCGAUAGUGAACCAGUACCGUGAGGGAAAGGUGAAAAGUACCCCGGAAGGGGAGUGAAAGAGAACUUGAAACCGUGUGCUUACAAGUAGUCAGAGCCCGUUAAUGGGUGAUGGCGUGCCUUUUGUAGAAUGAACCGGCGAGUUACGAUCUGAUGCAAGGUUAAGCAGCAAAUGUGGAGCCGCAGCGAAAGCGAGUCUGAAUAGGGCGUUGAGUAUUUGGUCGUAGACCCGAAACCAGGUGAUCUACCCUUGGUCAGGUUGAAGUUCAGGUAACACUGAAUGGAGGACCGAACCGACUUACGUUGAAAAGUGCUUGGAUGAGGUGAGGGUAGCGGAGAAAUUCCAAUCGAACUUGGAGAUAGCUGGUUCUCUCCGAAAUAGCUUUAGGGCUAGCCUCAAGUGAUGAUUAUUGGAGGUAGAGCACUGUUUGGACGAGGGGCCCCUCUCGGGUUACCGAAUUCAGACAAACUCCGAAUGCCAAUUAAUUUAACUUGGGAGUCAGAACAUGGGUGAUAAGGUCCGUGUUCGAAAGGGAAACAGCCCAGACCACCAGCUAAGGUCCCAAAAUAUAUGUUAAG
rnacentral:rRNA from 1 species